ACAGAGACUGCAAGCGUUAUUCGGAUUCACUGGGCGUAAAGGGUGCGCAGGCGGUUGCGUGUGUCAGGUGUGAAAUCUCGGGGCUCAACCCCGAAACUGCGCCUGAAACUACGUGACUAGAGCAUUGGAGAGGGUAGCGGAAUUCACGGUGUAGCAGUGAAAUGCGUAGAUAUCGUGAGGAACACCAGAGGCGAAGGCGGCUACCUGGACAAUUGCUGACGCUCAGGCACGAAAGCGUGGGGAGCCAAAGGG
rnacentral:rRNA from 1 species